UACAGAGGUCCCGAGCGUUGUUCGGAUUCAUCUGGGCGUAAAGGGUGCGUAGGUGGCCAUGAAAGUUCGAUGAUUGGAAAUCUCCGGGCCUUAACCCGGAAACGGCAUUGAAAACUCUGUGGCUGGAGGUUGGAGGGGGACUGGAAUUCUCGGUGUAGCAAGUGAAAUGCGUAGAUAUCGAGAGGAACACCAGUGGCGAAGGCGGGUCCCUGGACAACACCUGACACUGAGGCACGAAAGGCUAGGGGAGCAAACAGGA
rnacentral:rRNA from 1 species